AUUUAGAUGUUAAUUGACCAAUUAACCUUUUUAUUGCUUAAAAAAAUAUUUCCAAGCUUAAUGGCUUACAUGAGCAUGAGCAUGAGCAUGAGCAUAGAUGACCGCACAAUUCGUAGUUGCUACUCCGUGAUUGACCAGAGCAAUCGAAAUUGCACAAGGAACCAAUGAAUAGGGCUUGGGACUAGCUUACUAUUCUCAAUGUACACAGGUCGAGAGCUCUCAACUUUAAUAAGGUCAAUAACGGCGCCGGCCACGUCCUUACGGUCAUCGAGGAUGGAAGGGAAUGUUAGUAAGACAAACGUUGUUAUAAAGACCGCGACUCGCUGCAUCUCCACGUUUGUCUCAGGAAGGAAUUUUUUGUUAGUAGGGUAAGGUACAUUGUCAGUCCGGGAGUCACCUAUGGUUGGUGAUAUGAUUUGACAAUGGAUCAAUAUACACAAACCGCCGUUAACAACCGACCACUUUUCGACGCAAGAACUAGCCAAAAAGAAAAUUCGAUCGCGCGUCUCCACUCCACUAGGGAGCAGAAACCUUUAGUCUAUUCCACACAGAAAUACACUGAACGCGACUCACUUGUCGGCGCCCGGAUUUUUUCUCGACCGGCGAACCCGAACCCGAACCCGAAAUGUAAAAAAUGAAAGAAAAUAUUUAUUAUCAACUAAAAGUGUAUUGGAAACUAGCGCCGAAGGGAAGCGAAAAAUUCGGAACCGACUCAACCACGGCGCGCGCACACUCGUCCCGUCGUCGGAGCCCCGCAGAGAGAAGAGAAAAAAAAAUCGCAAAAAUCUAGCAAAGCGAGCGCGCGAAGCUUUGCUGCUGUCGAACUACCGCACACUACUGACUGCUUGGCGUCCCGUCGUCGGUGCCCUGCAGAGAAGAAAAAAAAAAUCGCAAAACUCUAGCAAAGCGAGCGCGCGAAACUUUGCUGCUGCCGAACUACCGCACACUACUGUAUUUCCAAGCUUAAUGGCUUUGGGGCAGCAGGGACGGAUGUCCUGGGGCCUGACGCACCCCCCCGCUUGCGAGUCAGCCGCGUAGUUGCCGGCUAAGAAUAGGACUACUAACCCCAAUUCAAGGUGUCAAGCGACCCGUGCCGAGGAAUGAGUGAUCGAGGGGGUGAAAAAGAUGCUCGAUCUUUAACGGAGCCUGUGGGGCACCUGGGCACCCCCCACAGUAAGCUGUCCCUUACCGCGUUAAUGCAGAGCUCUGGCGUGGUGGACAUUCUUUCUCGUGCGACUCGUGGGAAUCAAAUAUGAGUAAACAAAAUUCUAAAUCAAGUGUAUCAGGUAGUAGCGGUGCGAUCAACCUGUUACAUGUUGUAAUUUUGAUGGGAAAGUUGAAUCGGUGAAUAAGAAUUAGGCCUAUGGUUAGCAUCAAAAUUGUAAAACAAAACAAAUGUUAUAGUUAAGAUAGUUGUAAACAGAGAGCAGCCAAAUCACUCGAAGGAUGAAUAUCCCUCGUUUAGUACUUCGAAUGUGCGAAAAGUACAAUAGUCCGUCCACACGUACACAGUCACCCAACCGAAGGCCGUGGAUCGGAAACAGUCUCAGCACAAAAGCAGCAGCCAUUCAUUCUCCACACUGCACAAGCGCCAGUAUCGUGAGGCUCGGGUCUGCGAGAAAAAACGUGGCCGGACAACGGUAUCAACCAAGUAAGUUAGAACACGAUGUUCGAGAGACCACAGCUAAUCUUUAUCUACGAUUUGUGUUUGGCAGAAACCCUGUGGAAACCCCACCGAAAUCAGGCUUCUUCGAAUCUGGUUGCCUCCGCUAAACCGUGAUGUAAGUGGAUGAAUUCCUCCAAUAAAGAGGAUGUGUCUAACAGAUAUUAUUCACAGAUAGCAGAAGAUAUCCUGAACGGGAAAGGCAUUCCCGCGACCCACCUCACAUUUGAAUCUGGAUUCUGGAUCUGGCCUAUUGUCCAUCUACCUACGCGCCCAAGGCGCGCGCACUCGUACGUGCAGUGCGAGUAGCCAAAUCAAUCCACGAACUUGGCCAAAGCAACGGUUAUAACGACGCCACUGCGCGAGAAUUGUGGCAAGGCUAGACAAUCGAGGAGCCAUCGAAGCCGGAGAAGACCAGGCCUUUAAUCCACGAACAAAAGGAGCCCCGACAACGGGGCUCUUUGUUCACGCUCGCGGGCGCUCAGCAGCGGUUGUGAUCACCAUCGGCCUUGACCUUCGAAGCAACGUGAAGUGCUAGACCGGAAUAGACGCGAUAAGCACGGCUCGGUAGAGAAGAACCUGGGAGCUGGGACGAGAAGUGAGACGUAGUGAGUGAGAUAGCUGAUUGAGCGGUGGUUAGAGAUGCCGAGACGGACUGCUGGUUCGGAGAAGAAUCGCUCAUAGGCCGAUGAAAGUGCAUUUAGUGUGGUGCGUGCGGACGGGACUAGACAGUUCGAUCUCUCAUCGAUAUUAAGCGAGCGAGGAGCAACAACAGGGCGCCAGAGGCGACGAAGAUCGGCAUGCAUGCUAGCGUUAUGACUUCACGGGCCCGUGAGUAAUAGCUGUUAAGUCACAAUUAGUUUAAGAACAAACCCACAAAUGUAUCUUAAGCAGAAACUCGUAAUACAGUUAUGAAUGAAAGUUUGUUUGUAUUAUUAAGAGACACUCAUCCAUUAUCGCUCAAUAGACGGGAAAGUGUCUG